CCCAGUCCCCUUUGCCCUUGUCCAUCAAAGGUGCCGCCAGCGUGUCUGACAAACUGCCCUACAAAGUUGCUGACAUCGGCCUGACCACCUGGGGACACAAGGCCCUAGACAUUAUGGAGAAGGAGAUGCCGGGCCUGAUGAGCAUGCAGGAGCUGUACUUGGCCUCCAGGCUACUGAAGGGCGCCUGCAUUGCUGGCUGCCUGCAAGUCACUGUGGAGAUGGCCAUCCUCAUUGAGACCCUCAUUUCCCUGAGUGUUCAGGAGCAGUGGUCUAGCUGCAACAUCUUCUCCACCCAGGACCAUGCAGUGGCUAUCUUUGCCAAGGCUGGCAUACCAGUGUUCAUCUGGAAGGGCAAAACAGAUGAGGGGCACCCAUGGUGCAUUGAACAGACACUGUACUUCAAGGACGGGCCCCUCAACAUGAUUCUGGAUGAUGGGUGUGACCUUACCCGCCUCGUCCACACCAAGUACAUACCCACAGCUCAUGUCGGGCAUCUGAGGCAUCUCUGAGGAUACCAAAACCGGGGUCCAUAACCUAUACAAGGUGAUGGCCAAUGGAAUCCUGAAGGAGCUUGCCAUCAACGUCAAUGACUCCAUCACCAAGAGGAAAACUGACAGCCUCCAUGGCUGCCCGGGAGUCCCUCAUAGAUGGCAUCAAAUGGGCCAAGAUGUGAUGAUUGCCAGCAAGGUAGCAGUGGUAGCAGGCUAUGACAAUGUGGGCAAGGGCUGUGCCCAGGCCUUGUAGGGUUUUGGGGCUCAUGUAAUCAUCACCGAGAUUGACCCCAUCAGCACACUGCAGGCUGCCAUGGAAGGCUAUAAGGUGACCACCAUGGACGAGGCCUGUCAGGAGGGCAACAUCUUUGUCAUCACCACAGCCUGUGUCAAUAUCAUCCUUGGCCGGCACUUUGAGCAGAUGAAGGAUGAUGCCAUCUUGUGUAACACUGGACACUUUGACGUGGAGAUCGAUGUCAGGUGGCUCAACAAGAAUGUUGUGGAGAAAGUAAACAUCAAGCCCCAGGUGGACUGGUACUGGCUGAAGAAUGGGUGCCACAUCAUCCUGCUGGCUGAGGGUUGGCUGGUCAACCUGGGUUGUGCCAUGGGCUGCCCCAGCUUUGUGGGGUGUAACUCCUUCAUCAACCAGGUGAUGGUGUAGAUUGAGCUGUGGACCCACCCAGACAAGUACCCCAUUGGGGUUCACUUCCUGCUCAAGAAACUGGAUGAAGCAGUGGCUGAAGCCCCGGCUGGGGCAAGCUGAAUGUGAAAUUGACCAAGUUAACUGAGAAGCAAGCCCAGUAGCUGAGCACAUCCCGCGAUGGCCCCUUCAAGCUGGAUCACUACUGCUGCUGAGAGUCCGGCCUGCCCUUCACCUUCCAGCUGCUGUCCUUGCUCAGGCCCCAUCUCUUCUCCCUAAGAGCAAAUGGCACCAACUUUGCGAUUGAUUUGUCAGUGUCUCCCAUUGAUGGGGCUGGUCACUCAGUUUUUGGCCUCUGCAGCAUCCCUCACACUCUAUCAAGUGUGGCAGGGGGAACUGAGAGGCCUCUCCUCAAGCCCUGGUCAUGAUGGAGGUACAAGGGAGGCAUCCACAGGGAACCAUGAGUUGAAUGGUCUUGGAACUGCUCACUAAGUCAGUCCUUCCUUAGUCUGGAAGUUGGUAGUGGAGUCACAAAGCCCGUGUACCUUACCAUUCAGGUAAGGUUCCGGGUCUGUGGACUUAUAUCCGUGUGCUUGGUUUAUAGGUUCAGUGGUUCCUCAGCCCAUGGCAGAUGAGAAGGAGCUACAUUGAAGGGCAAAGAGGAACUGUUGUUUGACUUUUCCUGAGAGCCUGGCUUAGGGCUGGGCCUUCUCUUAAACCUUAUAACAAUGAGGUUGGUACUUUUAGUCCCUGUUUUACAGGGGUCAGAAUAGACUUUAAAGUGAUAACUGAGAAAGGACAGAGAAGUGACAGCCAGAGGGGCCAUAAAAACAUAA